rnacentral:rRNA from 1 species
AACAUAGGUGACGAACGUUAUCCGGAAUUAUUGGGCGUAAAGGGCUCGUAGGCGGUCCAUCGCGUCGGGAGUGAAAAGCUGGGGCUUAACCCCAGUCCUGCUUCCGAUACGGGUGGACUAGAGGUAGGUAGGGGAGAUCGGAAUUCCUGGUGUAGCGGUGAAAUGCGCAGAUAUCAGGAGGAACACCGGUGGCGAAGGCGGAUCUCUGGGCCGUACCUGACGCUGAUGCGCGAAAGCGUGGGGAGCAAACGGG